CCUACGGGAGGCAGCAGUGGGGAAUAUUGCACAAUGGGCGAAAGCCUGAUGCAGCGACGCCGCGUGAGGGAUGACGGCCUUCGGGUUGUAAACCUCUUUCAGUAGGGAAGAAGCGUAAGUGACGGUACCUGCAGAAGAAGCGCCGGCUAACUACGUGCCAGCAGCCGCGGUAAUACGUAGGGCGCAAGCGUUAUCCGGAAUUAUUGGGCGUAAAGAGCUCGUAGGCGGUUUGUCGCGUCUGCCGUGAAAGUCCGGGGCUCAACUCCGGAUCUGCGGUGGGUACGGGCAGACUAGAGUGAUGUAGGGGAGACUGGAAUUCCUGGUGUAGCGGUGAAAUGCGCAGAUAUCAGGAGGAACACCGAUGGCGAAGGCAGGUCUCUGGGCAUUAACUGACGCUGAGGAGCGAAAGCAUGGGGAGCGAACAGGAUUAGAUACCCUGGUAGUCCAUGCCGUAAACGUUGGGCACUAGGUGUGGGGGACAUUCCACGUUUUCCGCGCCGUAGCUAACGCAUUAAGUGCCCCGCCUGGGGAGUACGGCCGCAAGGCUAAAACUCAAAGGAAUUGACGGCUGAGACGNGCGACGACGACGACGAGGGAGAGG
rnacentral:rRNA from 1 species